GAUAAGAACGUAGCGAAAUGCGAUACUUGGUGUGAAUUGCAGAAUCCCGUGAACCAUCGAGUCUUUGAACGCAAGUUGCGCCCGAAGCCAUUAGGCCGAGGGCACGCCUGCCUGGGCGUCACACGUCGUUGCCCCCCCCAUCUACUCCUUCGGGAUUGCGGGGGGCGGAUGAUGGCCUCCCGUGCGCCUCGCCGCGCGGUUGGCAUAAAUGCCAAGUCCUCGGCGACGCACGCCACGACAAUCGGUGGUUGCGAAACCUCGGUUGCCCGUCGUGUGCGGUCGUCGCGCAUCGAGGGCUCGAAAAAAUUGCCGAGUUCCGGCUCGGCUUUCAACGCGACCCCAGGUCAGGCGGGGUUACCCGCUGAAUUUAAGCAUAUCAAUAAGCGGAGGA
rnacentral:misc_RNA from 1 species